GAGCACAUGGCUUGGUUUGCUGUGAUGGAUAUAAGUGGAGCACUGCACUAGGAAAAUGCAUAAAAUGCAGACUUGGAUAUACUGGCAACCAAUGCGCAUCAGUGUGCUUAUACCCAACCUUUGGUGAAAAUUGCCAACAAUUAUGUACUUGCCAAAAAUCAAUGUGUGAUUUUGCUUCUGGGUGUCCUAUCAAAGAACUACACUACAAUUUGACGACAGAAAAUAUGUACACUGCGCCCAGGAUAACAGUUAGAAGGAAGCGGAAAAAUCGAACUACGUAUUAUUCGUCGAGUGUAUCUGUCCCUUACCACAGAACAGCCGAGCAAAAUGAACAAUCAACUUUUAUCUACAUUUUGAAUACGAACACAAAAGAAAUACAGAUAUCCCAAUGGAUAAUAUUCACGUUGAUUCUGUUCGUGCUGAUACUUAUUGUCUUAAUCGUCCUUUCGAUGAAAUUUUACUGGAGAAGGUGUAAGUCUUCUUCCAGCAAGUCUUAUCAUGAUGUAACCCUGCCGUCUUUUACAAAAGAUGUAAGUUCACAAGACGCACUUGGUUUCCACUCUGAUAUAUUAAGUGAACAGAGAUUAUCAAAAUCAGAGUCGAUCGAAAGUUCUACAUACAUUUAUGAUGACAUUAAGGAAAGUGCUGAUAAUGAGAUGGAUGCCAGUGGAUCUCAUCUGAAUAGUAACGAUGAUUUAUGUACAUCGAACUUGUACAUUGAACCAUCAUAUUCAUUUAAUGUUUCUGGAAUUUCCUA